rnacentral:lncRNA from 1 species
UCCCAUUUCUUUCUUAAAUCGUAAUUACACGCGCUCUCCCUGCGAUGCCCCCUUGUUCGUUUCUGACUUGCCAAGUAGAGCUCGUGCCGGGCCCACGUAAAAAAAUUUUUAACCACUCAAUUUCAUCUUCUUUUUUGAACUAACAAAUAUAAUUGAGUGGUUACCAAUUUGGAAAAGCCUAUGAUUAUGAUCGCUUUGAUUGGAUCAUUAAUUACGCAAUUAACAAUAAUUAAUUAAUUCAGAAAACA